rnacentral:lncRNA from 1 species
UACAAGAGGCAUUCAUGAAAUAUUUGUCAGGUAGUUGGGGCGCCAAGAGCAUUGGGGCGCCAGCUCUUGGCACCCCACAAAGGAGAGUUGGCACCCCACAAAGGGAUCUGUAGCCAAAAGUGAUGGGGCGUGGCCUCCAUUCUCUCUCCUCCAUGCCAUGAGACAUAAGAGGGGGUGGGCCACUCUAGUAUAUGGCACCAAAUAUUUACCAAAAGAAAAAAGAUGCACCAUCCAAUCUUUCAACUAUUCCACGUACACACUUAGAGAUAAUUAAGAGAUAAAGAAG